rnacentral:rRNA from 1 species
AAUCAACGCUGGCGGCGUGCCUCAGACAUGCAAGUCGAACGAUUAAAGCUCUCUUCGGAGAGUGUAUAGAGUGGCGCACGGGCGAGUAACACGUAAGUAAUCUACCUUUGAGUGGGGAAUAACGUCCGGAAACGGACGCUAAUACCGCAUAAUGCAGCGGCAUCGCAAGAUGACAGUUGUUAAAGAUUUAUCGCUUGAAGAGGAGCUUGCGGCAGAUUAGCUAGUUGGUAAGGUAAUGGCUUACCAAGGCUACGAUCUGUAACCGGUCUAAGAGGACGGUCGGUCACACUGACACUGAAUAACGGGUCAGACUCCUACGGGAGGCAGCAGUCGGGAAUUUUGGGCAAUGGGCGAAAGCCUGACCCAGCAACGCCGCGUGAAGGAUGAAGUAUUUCGGUAU